GUGAGAGAGAGAGAGAGAGAGAGAGAGAAAUUUUGGAUUUUGUGUGUGUGUGUGUGCAUGUGUGUAUAGUGAGAACCACGUAUUCAAACCAUUCCCUAUUUCUGCACCUUAUCCUGCCAAUUACAAUCUGCUUGAUGGUGUGAAACUGACAGCCGGCAGCAGUGAUGGAGACAGGAGGAACGGUGAACAAGGGCUUUGUGCAUUCUCAGCUUUAGAGAGAAUGUUCAGUGGGGCAGACAGGCAUGUAACUGGCAGGUUUAGGAAUCAGUAAAAACCAAGAACUGGAAGUCCUAAUUUAUUGUCUGUUUCAAUACAAGGCUGGACACAGGCUAUUUAAUAUAAUGCAUUGUUUACAAGUGGAGGAGAGUGGAAGUUAUUGAUGCAUUACAAAUGCAGGCAAAUGCAUCUCAUAAGCCAAGGGUUAGGUAAUAACUAUUGCAGAAGACUAAAUUUGACUUUAAUCCCCUGAAGAAUGGCAUGCAUACAGCUUAAAAUGAUAAAAGCUAGAGGGGGUGGGGAGAGAGGGAAAGAAAGGAGGGAGAGAAGGAGGCAGAGUGAGACAGAGGCUGAGAGACAGACAGAGAUAAGAAGGGAAAUGAGAGCUGAUUUUCUCCUGGGAUUGUCUAUUUCUUGAUUAGGAAAUAGAGUGGAAAUUGAGAGAAAAGAUUUUUGAAGACCUCGUUUUGAUAAACAGCCUCAUGCUUGGCAGGGUGUUUUUGGUGGCAGGUCUGGUGUCUGCAUGGUGAAGCAGCUUGGAGUGAUUUACAGACCUGCCAAUCCCUUAGAUAAUCCCAAAGACAGAAAUAGAAAACAAGUCCUAGUUUGACCAGUGCACGUAGCCUGGUCUGUGUCCUUCUCCUGGGGUAUCUAGAGCCAUGGCCACAGUGGCUGGCUGUACACAAGCUUACUUGGUCUUUAGGGUUAAAAUUCCCCCACUGUUGACACAGUGCACUAUACUUUGGGCAGAGUAGGUGUCCUGUGAAUGCUGGCAGCGUGAACAUGGGGUGACGCAGGCGCCCACGAAGAAAGGAUGUGUCUGGACUCCAUAUUUUCAGUCUCAGCUGUGAAAGUGACUUCAGAGUAAGCAAAAGAGAGUCAGCUCCCCACCCACACUGAAAUCUCUCUGCAUCAUUUAUUGACAAAGGUGUCCAAAUGCAGAGUGGAAAAACCACACGAUAGGGUACCUCCUACCCCUGGCGCAACCCACUCCUAUGCAGAACGGGACUUAAGAAUGAUCACCACGUAUUGGGUAUGUGGCCACUGCUGUGCUGAAAUCUCUACGUGGCUUAUCUCUCUUUAUGCUUACAUCCAGCUCAGGAGGUAUUAAUCAUUAUUUCCUUUUAAAAGACAUAGAAACUAAGGCACAGAGAGGGUUCACAGCUGGUAACUGGUGGAGAAAGGAAGAACUCAAACCCAGGCAGAUUGACUCUGCACGCUGUGCUCUUAACCAUCAAGGAUGAUCUUCCUUAAGUUGACCUGAAGUCUGCCUCUCCCUCCUCCCUGCGGUAUCUCAUUGCAACGGUUAGUCUCAUGCGAUGGUGUGCCCAGUGCUGGAUUUCCAUUAUCAACCUGAGUCACAUUUCCUGGUUUCUGGAUGUGUUUGCAGGGUACCAUCUGCCUUCUCUGGUGAUCCAGUGGCAAACAGAGGGAGAAAGGAGAUUGGCACUGGAAGAUCUUUCUGUGACAGCUUUCUAACUGUGACAGCCAAGUGCAUCCAGCCUGGGUCACGGAACACAGAGAGUCCCUGAUCAUAACUGCAUGAAGUCACUAUUUGUGGAUCACUCUGAGAUAAAUGAGUGAACUCACUCUGGAGAAUAAGCAGUGGUCUGGGUGACCCCAUCUGUGUGCUUAGGCUGGUUGAAUCCUGAGGACAGCCAGUAAUCUCACCUCUCUAGGCUAACCCCAACACAGCAGGCCCUGAGCAAACAUUUGUCAACUAUCUGAUCUGACAGCAUUCCGGCUGAGAGCAAUGCUGCCAGCCCAGGUCCUUAGAAGGGCUGAGCCUGGAGACAGAACACGUUUUUAUUUAGAAGCUUGAUCUUGACCAUUUGGCCAUGACUUUGGGGUAAAUAGACCUCACAGCCUGGAGUCCUAUUCCCUUGCAACUGGCAUAUAUUUUUGCACUUUGUGUCUUAUGCGUGUCUGCCCAGGAAGCAUGAUGGGGCCCCUCCUGGUUUCCUGUGGGAACUUGUGGACAGGUCACCUUCUUAAUCUAGGAUAGAAGGGCUCCCAGGAUGUUUAAAAGAGAGAAGCUAAACCAGUCCAGACAAAACAUACGGCACGCCCCAAACCAAAUGGAUUAUUUCCUUCUUUUUCUGAGUGCCAUUUCUCCUGAGUUUCUACCAUAAUUUUCGCAGUCACACAAGCUUGAAAAAUCAGAGGCAUCUUUGUCGUCUCUUAUGGCUCUCACAUCCAAUCAGUUGCCCAGUCCUAGUUAGUCUGUCUCUGAAAUGUCUCCCCCUAAAAAGAUCUGUAGGUAGUUUGAGUCUUUUUAGCACUCAUUGGAUCAACUGUAGUUGAUUUCCUAAGUGGUUUCCUUGUCUCCAGCUGUCAACCCACUUUGGAUGCUCCUAAUUCUGCACAUAGGCAGAGAAAGAACUUCCUAGUGCAGCGGUUUUCAAAUUGAGCCCGAGGAGCACUAGGGUUUCCCCGCCAUGUGUUAAGGCCUUUUCAAUAGGCCAGGAACCAGGGCUCAGGUCCGCAGGAGUCUUUUGGGGCCCUCACUGCAAUUUAACCAGUUCCAAUUUCUAAUUUUUUUGAGAUCUGAAAAAUAAAAAGACUUAAAAGGCCAUAAAGGAACAACUCUACUUUAAAAAAAAUCUCUUUCAGGACUUUGAUGUGAAAUUCCACGUAAGAAAUGUGUUCCUAAGGAUUUUGAAAACUCUUGUCCAAAACACAAGACCCUACUGAAGGAGCUCUGAGAUAAAGUCUUUGUCUUGACUUGAAAGCUCUCCAGGCAGGGUUUGGGGAGCCAUUUGCUCAUGGGAAAGUUACCUCCUUCGUUCUCAAAGACUCAAAGACUAAUGGGGCCUGGGACAUUUGGGUUUCUUACAAACCAGGGGUAGGGGAUAGUCAAGAGUGAGGAGACUCAAAGGGAUGAUUGGUUAAGUUGGUUCAUGCUCCAGGGUUUGUUAUCAAAUCACUGGAAAGGUAAAACUGGAAAUGGUUUGAGCUGAAACUGAAAUCUAACAGGAGAACCAUCAAGACACCCCCACAGCACACCAGCAAAGGGCAUUUCUCCCUCUGCAGCUGGUAGGGUGAUGUGUACCUUUGGCAGUCUACAGAGGGAGAUGAUUCCCAGGGAAUUCUUGUCUCAUUUGUGCCUUACAAGCAGAACCAGAGGACAAAAGCUCAGCUCAAAGAGAACAUAAGAAGUGCAGCAUUUGGGGUCCAGCUUUCUUUCUGGUCUCUGAAAUGGAGUGUGUAAGGUUUCUCAAAGCUGGACUCAGGUAUGCUCUGCCUCCAGCCUCAGCUUACGAGUCAGCUCUGCCUUUCCAAAAGGAGCAACUGAUCCCUUGAGAAAGUUGUGGCCUUUGUUUGGGAGUGUUUUCUGAUUUUGGCUGUCAUGCCCAAGACCAACACUGAGGUUGGGUGAAUACUUGGAACAAAUGAGCCGUUACAUGUGAAAGGAAAUCUAACUGCAUCCUUUAUGCAGGGAUUCAAAACAGCUUCUAUGUGGUGGGGAAUAUUUACCUUAUUUGAAGCUGAUAUUGUCAACAGUUAUCAUAGAACAGGAAUUUUGGGGGAACACAGAGCUUGCAGGCAGAGGUACUCUGAGAGCGACAGAAAGCCACAGUCAUCAUGUAGAAGAAAAAGCCAGCCCUGAAAUGGUGAAUUAUUGACAACUGGGCAUUCGGCGGAGAGCACUGGAAGGAAAGUAGGCACUCUUCUAUAACCACAGCAGACGCAGGCACUUUCUAAAAUCCAGGGCCAAGAGGCAGGUAUUUUCUUCAAUUUAUAAUAAUGACACUGAUAUCAGGAAGUAACCAUUCUGGCACAGACUAGCAUGGAACAAGAACAGCCUGGGACACAGAGAUCGCAGAGGCUGGAUAACAUGGGAAGAAAAUGAGUCCCUACAGGAGGAGACAAAGGCAACUCCUCGUCACAUCUGACUAAGGGGCCUCACCAGCUCCUUAAUGCCGGGAGACUGGAAGUUAAUAUCAGAAGCCUAUGCAUACUUCUUAUUGUUUGUAGGAUUAUGUCCACAUUAACUGCAUAAUGAAGCAUGUGUAAUUGUCAUUCUAUGGCGCACAGUUAUUGAUUGGCAACCAAUGUUUCUGUUAUCUUCAUAUUGCCUUGAGUUAGGGAGCCGCUCUAGGGGUUCCCAAAGACUGAUCUGUGAAGCAGCUGGAAGCUUCUGACUUCUGCAGCCACCAUUCUGGCCCCUGAACAUUGUCCUAAGGGAAGACAUUCCUAGCAUGGAGUCCUCCUGUCUGUAUAUGCUACAUGUGACUCAGCUCUUGUUUCAGAGUUGAUAAUCACUGCAGUUUACUGCCUUGAUAUGUUUCUAGGUUUUCUUAUUCUUUUUGGUCUUUCCAGUGCUUUCUCAAUGCUCCUAAAGAUCUCAGGAGAUGUAACACAGGGGUGGGGAGACAUAAACAGUACCAAGAACUGAGCUCCUUCAGUGGGUUUUCUCUGAAUAGAAGGAGAAGGACAAGAAAACAAGAGAGAAGGCAUAGAAACAUGUUUUAUUGGCAGGGUGCCACUGCCAAAAAAUUACUCACACUUGUAAUUCCAGUACUUUGGGAGGCUGAGGUGGAUGGAUCACGAGGUCAAGAGUUCAAGAUCAGCCU